AGGAGUUGGUGACAUUCAGGGAUGUGGCUGUGAAUUUCACCCAGGAGGAAUGGGGCCUUUUGGACCAUGCUCAGAAGGAGUUGUACAAGGAGGUCAUAAUGGAGAAUGCCCAGAAUCUGCUCUCUCUGGGGCUUCCUGUUCCCAGAGAAGAUGUGAUCUCUUAUUUUGAGCAAAGGGAAGCACCAUGGAUGCUGGAGCAAGAAGGCCUGAGGCACCGCUGUCCAGGAAAGAUCAGACUUGAAAUAAAAGAGACUCCUACAGAGCUAAGCCUUUCUGUGGCAGAAACUCACAAGCAAAGAUUCAGGAAUAAUGGUCACUAUGAUUUCACCGGGAG